GGGCGUAAGCGUCCGCAGGUGGUUUGUCAGUCUGCUGUCAAGCGUCUGGCUUAACUAGAUAAAGGCAGUGGAAACUGAGAGACUGGAGUAUGGUAGGGGUAGAGGGAAUUCCCGGUGUAGCGGUGAAAUGCGUAGAGAUCGGGAAGAACACCGGUGGCGAAAGCGCUCUGCUGGACCAUAACUGACACUGAGGGACGAAAGCUAGGGGAGCGAAUGGGAUUAGAUACCCCRGUAGUCCUASCCGUAAACGAUGGAUACUAGGCGUUACGCGUAUCGACCCGCGUAGUGCCGGAGCCAACGCGUUAAGUAUCCCGCCUGGGGAGUACGCACGCAAGUGUGAAACUCAAAGGAAUUGACGGGGGCCCGCACAAGCGGUGGAGUAUGUGGUUUAAUUCGAUGCAACGCGAAGAACCUUACCAGGGCUUGACAUGUCGCGAAUCCCGAUGAAAGUUGGGAGUGCCUUAGGGAGCGCGAACACAGGUGGUGCAUGGCUGUCGUCAGCUCGUGUCGUGAGAUGUUGGGUUAAGUCCCGCAACGAGCGCAACCCUCGUACUUAGUUGCCAUCAUUAAGUUGGGAACUCUAAGAAGACUGCCGGUGACAAACCGGAGGAAGGUGGGGGAUGACGUCAAGUCAGCAUGCCCCUUACGUCCUGGGGCUACACACGUACUACAAUGCUGUGGACAGAGGGCAGCAAGCUAGCGAUAGCAAGCAAAUCUCACAAACCACGGCUCAGUUCAGAUCGCAGGCUGCAACUCGCCUGCGUGAAGGUGGAAUCGCUAGUAAUUGCAGGUCAGCAUACUGCAGUGAAUUCGUUCCCGGGCCUUGUACACACCGCCCGUCACACCAUGGAAGCUGGUAGUGCCCGAAGUCGUUACUCUAA
rnacentral:rRNA from 1 species